rnacentral:lncRNA from 1 species
UGCAUAUUAAACCCUACAUGGACUAAACCAAAUAAUAAAUAUAAGGGAGUGGAACUUCGAAUAGUGAUUGUGAUUCUACAAUUCUACACACAUGCUUUUGUACAUGUUUGAAUGAGAUAGAUCACAAACCUGCACUAACUGGAGCAAGCUGUGCAAAGAAAGUAAAGGCAAAUAUCAGCAAAAUAAAAAAUGGUAUUGAUAUAGAAGAAAGACUAGUCCGAGCCAUCUCUUAAAGCAGAAACUGAAA